rnacentral:rRNA from 1 species
UACGAAGGGGGCUAGCGUUACUCGGAAUGACUGGGCGUAAAGGGCGCGUAGGCGGUUUGUUUAGUUAGGCGUGAAAUUCCUGGGCUCAACCUGGGGGCUGCGCUUAAUACAGGCAGACUAGAGUGUGAAAGAGGGUCGUGGAAUUUCCCAGUGUAGAGGUGAAAUUCGUAGAUAUUGGAAAGAACACCGGUGGCGAAGGCGGCGACCUGGACCAAUUCUGACGCUGAGGAGCGAAAGCUAGGGGAGCAAACGGG